UUGGAGGGCAAGUCUGGUGCCCGCAGCCGCGGUAAUUCCAGCUCCAAUCGCGUAUAUUAAAGUUGUUGCAGUUAAAAAGCUCGUAGUUGAAUUUCGGGAUCAGAGUGUCGGUCGUGCCUCGGUACGCACUGGUAUUAUUGGUUCCUACCUUCUGAAGAACCGCGAUGUCAUUAAUUUGGUGUCGUGGGGAAUCAGGACUAUUACUUUGAAAAAAUUAGAGUGUUUAAAGCUGGCUUACGCUUGAAUACAUUAGCGUGGAAUAAUGAAAUAGGACGUCUGAUUCUAUUUUGUUGGUUUCUAGGAUUGACGCAAUGAUUAAUAGGGAUAGUUGGGGGCAUUAGUAUUCAAUUGUCAGAGGUGAAAUUCUUGGAUUUAUUGAAGACUAACUACUGCGAAAGCAUUUGCCAAGGAUGUUUUCAUUAAUCAAGAACGAAAGUUAGGGGAUCGAAGACGAUCAGAUACCGUCGUAGUCUUAACCAUAAACUAUGCCGACUAGGGAUCGGAUGAUGUUAGUUUUUUAAUGACUCAUUCGGCGCCUUACGGGAAACCAAAGUGUUUGGGUUC
rnacentral:rRNA from 1 species